UACGGAGGGUGCAAGCGUUAUCCGGAUUUACUGGGUUUAAAGGGUGUGUAGGCGGACUUUUAAGUCCGUGGUGAAAUCUCCGGGCUCAACCCGGAAACUGCCAUGGAUACUAUUUGUCUUGAAUAUUGUUGAGGUGGCGGAACGGGUCAUGUAGCGGUGAAAUGCAUAGAUAUGACCCGGAACACCGAUUGCGAAGGCAGCCCACUAAGCAAUGAUUGACGCUGAGGCACGAAAGCGUGGGGAUCAAACAGG
rnacentral:rRNA from 1 species